AACGCACCUUGCGCCCCUUGGCAUUCCGAGGGGCACACCCGUUUGAGUGUCGUGAAAAUCUCAACCUUUGUGGUCUUUUUUUCCACAAAGGCUUGGACCUUGGAGGCCUUUUGCUGAAGUCCCCACGGGAAGUCAGCUCCUCUCAAAUGAAUUAGCGAGGUCCUCUUUGCCAAUCCUCGAUGUGUGAUAAGAUGUUUCCACGUCUUGGGCUUCUGGCUCGGUUGGGACCUGCUUCUAAUCGUCUCGUUGAGACAAUGUCGAGGGAGAGUGCCUUUGGAUGCUCGCCCGCACGAUGAAACCCCCCUUGACCUCAAAUCGGGUGAGACUACCCGCUGAACUUAA
rnacentral:misc_RNA from 1 species